rnacentral:rRNA from 1 species
GAUCAUGGCUCAGAUUGAACGCUGGCGGCAGGCUUAACACAUGCAAGUCGAACGGUAACAGGAAUCAGCUUGCUGAUUCGCUGACGAGUGGCGGACGGGUGAGUAAUGUCUGGGAAACUGCCUGAUGGAGGGGGAUAACUACUGGAAACGGUAGCUAAUACCGCAUAACGUCGCAAGACCAAAGAGGGGGACCUUCGGGCCGUCUUGCCAUCGGAUGUGCCCAGAUGGGAUUAG